UACUUAGAGAAGACUGCCUCAAUCAUCCUCCAGAAUUUCCAUCAUUGCCAUUCGCCUUGGGUGCAUCCUAACAAACUGGUCAAUGGCUGCUUCAAUGUCAAUGGGAAUGUCACGGUGUAUUUGCAGAAGAUCCGCUAAAGGAUCUUUCAGCUGAGCAGGAGGUGACUGGUAGAGCACAGAGGAUCUUGAUCAGAGUGGAUAUGUUUGGGUACAUAGAGCUAAUAUGUCUCAAGGUCACCAAGAGCUUUGAACCUGGACACGCAUUCAUCACGAUCAAAAGUAACAAUCAGAGAGGGAAUUAACGAGAGGCCCAACAAGGCUGUUUGCUGAUGGGCACCAAACCGAGAUUGUAGCUCCGACAGGAGAUGAUCAAGUACUGGAAUCGAUAUCGUGCGACAAAAGUAUCCAUCGGGGGU